rnacentral:rRNA from 1 species
GAGUUUGAUCCUGGCUCAGGACGAACGCUGGCGGCGUGCUUAACACAUGCAAGUCGAGCGGAAAGGCUCCUUCGGGGGUACUCGAGCGGCGAACGGGUGAGUAACACGUGAGUAACCUGCCCUGGGCUUUGGGAUAACCCUCGGAAACGGGGGCUAAUACCGGAUAUUCACAUGCUGCGGCAUCGUGGUGUGUGGAAAGUUUUUCGGCUUGGGAUGGGCUCGCGGCCUAUCAGCUUGUUGGUGGGGUGAUGGCCUACCAAGGCGACGACGGGUAGCCGGCCUGAGAGGGCGACCGGCCACACUGGGACUGAGACACGGCCCAGACUCCUACGGGAGGCAGCAGUGGGGAAUAUUGCACAAUGGGCGCAAGCCUGAUGCAGCGACGCCGCGUGAGGGAUGACGGCCUUCGCGUUGUAAACCUCUUUCGACCCUGACGAAGCGUAAGUGACGGUAGGGGGAAAAGAAGCGCCGGCCAACUACGUGCCAACAACCGCGGUAAGACGUAUGGCGCAAGCGUUGUCCGGAUUUAUUGGGCGUAAAGAGCUCGUAGGCGGCUUGUUGCCUCAACUGUGAAAACCCGCGUCUUAACCGCGGGCCUGCACUUCAUACGGUCAGGCUAGACUUCUGUAUGAGAGACUG